rnacentral:lncRNA from 1 species
UAUAAAUCUUUGCUAGUAUUUAUUACUUUUAUUAUGUUAAGCCCACCAUAUUAGACAAUGCAAGCUUGUAGUUCUAGCACUGUAUAUUUAGUCCUAUACAUGCUUUCAUUCUGAAUUUUUAUCUUGCUAUGACAAAUUCACAAAGGGGAUACUAAGUAAGGCAUGCUGUUUCUUGCAGAUGAUUCACAGCUGCUAUGUCAGCCAUGUAUAACUGUGAAUUCAUUAGAAUUUGUUUGAUACAAAUUUUCAUUCACAUAGGCAUAUCCAGGGUGAGGUGGGGCUUAGGGCCGUGUCCCCCUUUCGUGGUAAAAAUUUAGUUGAUUAUAUAGGGAAUCACUGAAGCAUGACUGGAGCAGGCCCCCAUUAGGUCAGUCAGGUUCUUAAUCCACAAAAAUUGAUACAUAUGGAAAUAGAUGAAUAAUUUAUGUUAAAUAAUUUAGUUUAAAGGGCACCAACACCGUAGUGGUUUGUUGAACAGGCC